GAUGAACGCUGGCGGCGUGCCUAAUACAUGCAAGUCGAGCGAACGGACGAGAAGCUUGCUUCUCUGAUGUUAGCGGCGGACGGGUGAGUAACACGUGGAUAACCUACCUAUAAGACUGGGGUAACUUCGGGAAAACGUAGCUCAUACCGGAUAAUAUUUUGAACCGCAUGGUUCAAAAGUGAAAGACGGUCUUGCUGUCACUUAUAGAUGGAUCCGCGCUGCAUUAUCUAGUUGGUAAGGUAACGGCUUACCAAGGCAACGAUGCAUUGCCGACCUGAGAGGGUGAUCGGCCACACUGGAACUGAGACACGGUCCAGACUCCUACGGGAGGCAGCAGUAGGGAAUCUUCCGCAAUGGGCGAAAGCCUGACGGAGCAACGCCGCGUGAGUGAUGAAGGUCUUCGGAUCGUAAAACUCUGUUAUUAGGGAAGAACAUAUGUGUAAGUAACUGUGCACAUCUUGACGGUACCUAAUCAGAAAGCCACGGCUAACUACGUG
rnacentral:rRNA from 1 species